rnacentral:rRNA from 1 species
UACAGAGGGUGCGAGCGUUAAUCGGAAUUACUGGGCGUAAAGCGUGCGUAGACGGUUAUUUAAGUCGGGUGUGAAAGCCCCGGGCUCAACCUGGGAAUUGCAUUCGAGACUGAAUAGCUAGGGUACGGUAGAGGGAAGUGGAAUUUCCGGUGUAGCGGUGAAAUGCGUAGAUAUUCGGAGGAACACCAGUGGCGAAGGCGGCUCACUGGUCCGGUACUGACGCUGAGGUGCGAAAGCGUGGGGAGCAAACAGG